rnacentral:tRNA from 1 species
GCACUCUUAGCUCAGUGGUAGAGCAGUAACCUUCUAAGUUAAUGGUCACAGGUUCAAAUCCUGUAGAGUGUA